UGACUCACUUCCUGGUUCAGUGCUAUGAGCAAUAUGCUGACUCCCUUUUACUACACCUUGAGACUUCCACUACAGACGAAAUAUGUGACUUCCUAGGCCUGCAUGUUGGUACCAUCAGUCGUCUCUGACAACCAGAUGACCCUAUGAUCACUCGGCUACACAGCUGAUGCCUCCCGGACUCUUCACUAACACGACUAGAAACCACUACUUCGUCGGAUUCUUGCCGUAAGCUCUGGACCUUUGCAUCGGAUCAUUGCAACUAGCUAGCUGCUACUGAGUGGCUAUAGUGGCUAACGCCCUUGUCCCGAAGCUAGCACCAGUUAGCCUUGAGCCAGGCGCAUCUCCCGGCUAGCAAACGAAAUUACUCCAGCUAACUCUUUUGCCAAUUGGCCUGGACCCUUUGUCGACACGGAGCCCCGCAGAUCCAUCACGACUGGUCUGCCGAUGUAAUUCCAUCCGAUGUGCCCUCAACCUGCCUUUGUCGAACGUCGAUGAAGACGCUUCUGCUAGCCACGGCCUGCUCACUUUAUGAUCGCUGUGUCUCCCGGUUGCUGGCGUAGUAACGACUUCCCUGUUUCAUCUAUUGCUGUUCACCUGGCUACAUAGCUGAUGCCUGCUGGACUGUUCAAUAAUCACGGUACACCAUUUUGCUUGUUUUGUUUAUCUGUCGGCCCCAGCCUCGAACUCAGGCCCUGUGUGUAGUUAACUUACCCUCUCUGCCCAUUCAUCGCCAUUUUACCUGUUGUUGUUGUCUAAGACAGCUGGGGCUGUCUUACCCGUUGUCUUAGGUAGCUCCCAAUCAACACCUGUGAUUGCUUUAUGCCUCGCUUUAUGUCUCUCUCUAAUGUCAAUAUGCUUUGUAUACUGUUUAGGGUAGGUAUCAUUGUUUCAUUUUGCUGCGGAGCCCCUAGCCCCACUCAACAUGCCUCAGAUACCUCUUUUGUCCCACCUCCCACACAUGGGGUGACCUCAUCUAGCAUAACUAAUGCCUCCAGAGAUGCAACCUCUCUUAUCAUCACUCAAUGCCUAGGUUUCUCUCCACUGUACCCACACCAUACCCCUGUCUGUACAUUAUGCCCUGAAUCUAUUCUACCAUGCCCAGAAAUCUUCUCCUUCUAUUAUCUGUUCCCAACGCACUAGGCGACCAGUUUUGAUAGCCUUUAGCUGUAGCCUCAUCCUACUCCUCCUCUGUUCCUCUGGGUGAUGUAGAGGUUAACCCAAGCCCUGUGUGUCCCCAGGCACUCUCAUUUGUUCACUUCUGUAACCGUAAAAACCUUGAUUUCAUGCAUGUUAACAUCAGAAGCCUCCUCCCUAAGUUUGUUUUACUCACUGCUUUAGCAAACUCCGCCAACCCUAAUGUCCUUGCCAUGUCUGAAUCCUGGAUUAGGAAGGCCAACAAAAAUUCUGAGAUUUCCAUCCCCAGCAACAAAAUUCUCCGUCAAGAUAGAACUGCCAAAGGGGGAGGAGUUAGCCUGCAAAGUUCUGUCACACUUUCCAGGUCUAUGCCCAAACAUUUCAGGCUUGUAAUUUAAAAAAAAGUGUAUCUCUCCAGAAAUAAGUCUUUCACUCUUGCCAACUGUUAUACACCACCCUCAGCUCCCAGCUGUGUCCUGAACACCAUACAGUUGAAGUUGGAAGUUUACAUAGACCUUAGACAAAUACAUUUAAACUCAGUUUUUCACAAUUCCUGACAUUUAAUCCUAGUAAACAUUCCCUGUCUUAGGUCAGUUAGGAUCACCACCUUAUUUUAAGAAUGUGAAAUGUCAGAAUAAUAGUAAAGAGAAUGAUUUAUUUCAGCUUUUAUUUCUUUCAUCACAUUCCCAGUGGGUCAGAAGUUUACAUACACUCAAUUAGUAUUUGGUAACAUUGCCUUUAAAUGGUUUAACUUGGGUCAAAUGUUUUGGGUAGCCUUCCACAAGCUUCCCACAAUAAUUUGGGUUAAUUUUGGCCCAUUCCUCCUGACAGAGCUGGUGUAACUGAGUCAGGUUUUUAGGCCUCCUUGCUUGCACACACUUUUUCAGUUCUGCCCACACAUUUUCUAUUGGAUUAAGGUCACGGCUUUGUGAUGGCCACUCCAAUACUUUGACUUGUUGUCCUUAAGCCAUUUUACCACAACUUUGGAAGUAUGCUUGGGGUCAUUGUCCAUUUGGAAGACCCAUUUGCGACCAAGCUUUAACAUCCUGACUGAAGGCUUGAGAUGUUGCUUCAAUAUAUCCACAUAAUUUUCAAUUCCUCAUGAAGCCAUUUAUUUUGUGAAGUGCACCAGUCCCUCCUGCAACAAAGCACCCCAACAACAUGCUUCAUGGUUGGGAUGGUGCUCUUCAUCUUGCAAGCCACCCCCUUUUUCCUCCAAACAGAACGGUGGUCAUUAUGGCUGAACAGUUCUAUUUCUGUUUCAUCAGACCAGAGGACAUUUCUCCAAAAAGUACGAUCUUUGUCCCCAUGUGCAGUUGCAAACCGUAGUCUGGCUUUCUUAUGGUGGUUUUGGAGCAGUGGCUUCUUCCUUGUUGAGCAGCCUUUCAGGUUAUGUCGAUAUAGGACUCGUUUCUCUUCAAAGGGGGAGACACUCUAGACCCAAACUGUUACAGACCUAUAUCCAUCCUGCCCUGCCUUUCUAAAGUCUUCGAAAGUCAAGUUAACAAACAAAUCACUGACCAUUUCGAAUCCCACCGUACCUUCUCCGCUGUGCAAUCCGGUUUCCAAGCUGGUUACGGGUGCACCACAGCCACGCUCAAGGUCCUAAACGAUAUCAUAACCACCAUCGAUAAAAGACAGUACUGUGUAGCUGUCUUCAUCGACCUGGCCAGGGUUUUCGACUCUGUCAAUCACCGUAUUCUUAUCGGCAGACUCAACAGACCAACUACUUCUCAGAUAGAGUUCAGUGUGUCAAAUCGGAGGGCCUGUUGUCCGGACCUCUGGCAGUCUCUAUGUGGGUACCACAGGGUUCAAUUCUCGGGCCGACUCUUUUCUCUGUAUAUAUCAAUGAUGUCGCUCUUGCUGCGGGUGAUUCCUUGAUCCACUUCUACGCAGACGACACCAUUCUGUAUACAUCUGGCCCUUCUUUGGACACUGUGUUAACAAACCUCCAAAUGAGCUUCAAUGCCAUACAACACUCCUUCCGUGGCCUCCAACUGCUCUUAAAUGCUAGUAAAACUAAAUGCAUGCUCUUCAACCGAUCGCUGCCCGCACCCGCCCGCCCGACUAGCAUCACUACUCUGGACGGUUCUGACUUAGAAUAUGUGUACAACUACAAAUUCCUAGACUGUAAACUCUCCUUCCAGACUCAUAUUAAGCAUCUCCAAUCCAAAAUUAAAUCUAGAAUUGACUUCCUAUUUUGCAACAAAGCAUCCUUCACUCACGCUGCCAAGCAUACCCUUGUAAAACUGACUAUCCUACCGAUCCUCAUCUUCAGCGAUGUCAUUUACAAAAUAGCCUCCAACACUCUACUUAGCAAAUUGGAUGCAGUCUAUCACAGUGCCAUCCGGUUUGUCACCAAAGCCCCAUAUACCGCCCACCACUGCGACCUGUAUGCUCUCGUUGGCUGGCCCUCGCUACAUAUUCGUCGCCAGACCCACUGGCUCCAGGUCGUCUAUAAGUCUUUGCUAGGUAACGCUCCACCUUAUCUCAGCUCACUGGUCACCAUAUUGUUAUUUUGUUCAAGGAUUUCGACAAUAAAUCAUUAACACUUACCAUGCUGCGCUUUGGUCUACUGCUUCCACCGACGACAAGAGUCGUGACAAUCUCACUGGUCAUCCCCAAAGCCAACACCCCCUUUAGCCGCCUUUACUUCCACUUCUCUGCUGCCAAUGACUGGAACAAUUUGCAAAAAUCACUGACGUUGGAGACUUAUAUCCCCCUCACUAACUUUAAGCAUCAGCUAUCUGAGCAGGUUACCGAUCGCUGCAGCUGUACAUAGCCCAUCUGUAAAUAGCCCACCCAACUACCUACCUCAUCCCCAUAUUGUUUUUAUUAACUUUUUUGCUCUUUUGCCCACCAGUAUUUCUACAUGCACAUCUAUCAAUUCAGUGUUAAUUUGCUAACUUGUAAUUACUUCACUACUAUGGCCUAUUUAUUGCCUUACCUCCUUACUCCAUUUUCACACACUGUAUGUAGAUUUUUCUAUUGUGUUAUUGAUUGUACUUUUGUUUUUCCUAUGUAACUGUCACGUCCUGACCUUAGUUCCUUUUUUAUGUCUCUGUUUUAGUUUGGUCAGGGCGUGAGUUGGGGUGGGCAUUCUAUGUUGUGUAUUCUAUAUUUUGUAUUUCUGUGUUUGGCCUGGUAUGGUUCUCAAUCGGGGACAGCUGUCUAUCGUUGUCUCUGAUGGAGAACCAUACUUAGGCAGCCUGUUUUCCCACUAUGGGUUGUGGAUAGUCGUUUUCUGUGUCUGUGUUUUACCAUACAGAACUGUUUCGGUUUUCAUUUAUUUCUCUUGUUCUUUUGUAUUCAGUGUUCGGUUAUAUUUCAUUAAAAUAUGGACACUU